rnacentral:snoRNA from 1 species
AUCCUUUUGUAGCUCAUAAGCAUGAUGAUUGGGUGUUCACGCCAUUGUGUGACAUGUGCCACCCUUAAACCUUGUGACGACGCCGGCACAUUACCCAUCUGACA